AGUUUUGCACAGUGGUAGUAUCAUAGCCAAUGAGGUUUAUUUGUGGUGCAAUUAUUGCUAAUUGAAAACUUUUCCUAAUACCCUGCCACGAGCAUGUGAAAGAUAGUUGGCAUUGGCAAUUUUUGACAUUCUCUUAAGU